ACUCAGCUGUAAAAUAUUUUUUCAACCAGUGCGUUUUCCAACAACUGGAGCCAUACAUUUUUUUUACCUAAUUUGGCAAUCUCAGGCAUCCAACGGCCGAAAGCCAAAGAUACCAACCCUGCCGACUCAGCCAUCCAUGAUGAUAGUCCAUGUACAGAUCAUGAGGAGGCAUCUCUUAGCUCCAGACGCGUUGUCUGGGUUUUCCUUUUCUUCUGCUGUCUUCGAUUGUGAGUGAAAUCGGAUUGAUCAAAAAAUGCCUAAAAGAUGAAAUUUUUGUUGUUGCCCUCUCUUGCUGGUCUCCCUCUUUGAUAGAAGGUUUCCAGCUGUAAACAAUACCACCACAGCCCUAGCUCCAUGGAUUGAAGGUUUCUGCGCUCUCCCUCUCAAUUGAAGGUUUCUGUUCUCUCCGGCCCUCAUGGUUACUAUUAUUCUUUUCUUCAUUCGUUAAAACUGAUGCAUGAGGGCAUCUUCUCAUCGAUCUGCAACCACAAUAUGCAACUUCAUCGAUCUUCAACACCUUAGAGGCCAGGCCCGCGCAAAUUAAACAAGAUCUGAUUGCAAGUUUUUGUUCUCGUCAAAACUGGAGCCUGUGCAUGCCUGAGGUGCUGCCGAAGUAAUGACUUUUGAGUCCUUGGAUGCUUCUUGUGAUGUCAAAGCACGUGAUGGUUUCCAAACAUUAUUUAAAGAUGCACUUGUCAGUGUGACCCUCUAGACUCGAUUGCUCUCUUUGAAGAAGGAAAAGACUACAAUAUGCGACUAAACUCAUACAUCAAUGAUAGACGAGCUUGAUAUAGUAUAGACAUAUUGCAUACAGUCGUAGAGCAGUAUUUAUGAACUGUUGCAUUAGUCUAUCAGAAACUGGUCUACGACUGCAUGGAACUUGUCUACUAUUUAUAUGGAGCGGUAUGGUAGAUAAACGCCAUUGAGCAGGAAUAUGGGCCGCUGUAUCAACUUUGGGUCUUGCGUAGUUGUUUUCAUCUUGAUUAAAAAGAUGGCAAGACAAUAUCUCAUCUCGUUGAUAGGCAAGCCUGCCGGGUGGCUUUUAUUCCACAUCUUCAGAUACUCUCUUGAAGAGACUGCUCUCAUGGGUCGUCGGACGAUAUUCCGGAUUCGUAAAGUCCUCAGAGUUCCUCACAUAAUUACUAUCCCUAAGAUAGUAACGGUUGAGAGAAGCCCCGAUUCCUCGACCAGUUUUUCUGCUCGCCUCACUGGAUUCUCUUCAGCAAUGGCAGUCUACGGGAGUCUCCCUUCGAUUUUGGACGAUCCGAACGAUCCUCAUCUCUCGGAAUUGGAGAGGUUGGAAACGGAGGCAAGGGUUCAUCUCCGAGCCAUCCACCGUGAGGAGGCGGAGGAUGCCAACAGCCGCCGCUGGUUUGCCCAGCUGCGGAGCCGGUCCAACCCCCCCAUGGCAAUCGAGUGCAAAAAGUAAGAAUUUUCAUUCUAGAUCUACAUCUCCUUAAGAUCUAGCUGAAUGAGUUUUGAAUCUGCCACAGAAAAAAGGACCGAUAUUCUAAUUGUUAUCAGCAAUUUUAGACAUCCGCGUUCACUCUUUUAUUAUUUGCAAUUUUGUUUGAAUUUCUUUUAUUUUUCACGCUUUAUCGAUCUGAUCUAUCAGCAAAACUAUUAGGGUUUUGUUCAAAGCUAUUCGGUGGCCUUUUUUUUUUUUUUUGGUGGUGACAGUUGAAUAUCUUUGAACUGUUCAAAGAUAUUCAACUGUCUUAAUAUCUUUGAACAUCUUUGAACUGUUCAAAGAUAUUCAACUGCCUUUUUUUAUUAAGACAGUUGUCUUAAUAUCUUUGAACAUCUUUGAACUGUUCAAAGAUAUUCAACUGCCUUUUUUUAUUAAGACAGUUGUCUUAAUAUCUUUGAAUAUCGAGUACAUAAAUUGAAACAAAAGUUCAAGAAAUAGUUCAUAGAACUAAACAAUAGAAAUAUAAACGAAAAUGUGCCUUUUUCUCCUGCAAAUAAAAUUGAAUGAACAAUUAGUUAUAACAUAAAAGAAAGAAAGAAGAUUGGAAAUAGUUGCCAAUGGGCCUAGCAAAAACAUGUGCAGAUGAGUUGAGAACUAAAGCAGAGGUUGUCUAAAAUAAGUUUCAGCAAAACUUAUUAGAAAAGAUUUACAUUUGCAGGCUUGUUCAACCAUCAUCCACAAUAUUAUAAACCAUUAAAUUUAAAGAUUCAGUUGGUAAAAUGAAACACUGUAAUACUAAUUUCAAAACUCAGAAAAUUCCUGCAUCUCUAAGACUAAACCUGCAUCUCAAAAUCAAUCAAAGUUCCAUACCAACUUCUCUGCACAACUUUCUCAUCCAAAAUUUCACUACAACUCUACAACUUUCUCAUCCUCAUUAAGCAGCCAAAGCACAGAGAACAUUUUAAGGAGAGAUCACAAUAGUCAAGAUCAAGAUAAAGUUUCAAGAUCAAUUACCUUCAUAUAUGGCAUAUCAAGUUCUUUUUCUCCUAUAUAUACGUUCAUCCAUUCAAAAAGUUCAUAGAAUAUAUUGAUCAGGCCGUUUGAUCGACUUGUAGAUUAGAUAUAUUGAUCGUAGAAGUGUUCCGAUCGACUUGUAGAUUAGAUAUAUUUUAUUUUAUCUUGAUAGAAGGGGACAUAAUUAAGCAUUGUAGCUUGGAAGAAGGGGAUUUGAGCUAGAGACAUCAUCCACAUUUGUAAAGAGAAAUACUAGUAGACUGAUUUACUCUCAAUAACACAUAGAAUAAUUUCUAUUAAAAAAUUUGGUAUUCUAUUUAACUAAUAAAAUUUUAAUUUUAAUUGAAAUUAAUAACUAUAAGACGUAGUGUUUAUGAGAGGCCUGCCCACCUAAAGGAAUUUUUUAUUUUUAUUUUUUAUUUUUUUUUGUGAGGGACAAACUUAAAAGAAAAAACACCCUAAGCGGUCUCAUUCUCAUUGCCGCACUAAAACCUUAUUAUUCCCAACCUCUGUUGUCGCCGUUUUUUUUCCAUUGCUUCUCAAUUCCUUCCAGCAUCUUCAGAUACUCUCUUGAAGAGACUGCUCUCAUGGGUCGUCGGACGAUAUUCCGGAUUCGUAAAGUCCUCAGAGUUCCUCACAUAAUUACUAUCCCUAAGAUAGUAACGGUUGAGAGAAGCCCCGAUUCCUCGACCAGUUUUUCUGCUCGCCUCACUGGAUUCUCUUCAGCAAUGGCAGUCUACGGGAGUCUCCCUUCGAUUUUGGACGAUCCGAACGAUCCUCAUCUCUCGGAAUUGGAGAGGUUGGAAACGGAGGCAAGGGUUCAUCUCCGAGCCAUCCACCGUGAGGAGGCGGAGGAUGCCAACAGCCGCCGCUGGUUUGCCCAGCUGCGGAGCCGGUCCAACCCCCCCAUGGCAAUCGAGUGCAAAAAGUAAGAAUUUUCAUUCUAGAUCUACAUCUCCUUAAGAUCUAGCUGAAUGAGUUUUGAAUCUGCCACAGAAAAAAGGACCGAUAUUCUAAUUGUUAUCAGCAAUUUUAGACAUCCGCGUUCACUCUUUUAUUAUUUGCAAUUUUGUUUGAAUUUCUUUUAUUUUUCACGCUUUAUCGAUCUGAUCUAUCAGCAAAACUAUUAGGGUUUUGUUCAAAGCUAUUCGGUGGCCUUUUUUUUUUUUUUUGGUGGUGACAGUUGAAUAUCUUUGAACUGUUCAAAGAUAUUCAACUGUCUUAAUAUCUUUGAACAUCUUUGAACUGUUCAAAGAUAUUCAACUGCCUUUUUUUAUUAAGACAGUUGUCUUAAUAUCUUUGAACAUCUUUGAACUGUUCAAAGAUAUUCAACUGCCUUUUUUUAUUAAGACAGUUGUCUUAAUAUCUUUGAAUAUCGAGUACAUAAAUUGAAACAAAAGUUCAAGAAAUAGUUCAUAGAACUAAACAAUAGAAAUAUAAACGAAAAUGUGCCUUUUUCUCCUGCAAAUAAAAUUGAAUGAACAAUUAGUUAUAACAUAAAAGAAAGAAAGAAGAUUGGAAAUAGUUGCCAAUGGGCCUAGCAAAAACAUGUGCAGAUGAGUUGAGAACUAAAGCAGAGGUUGUCUAAAAUAAGUUUCAGCAAAACUUAUUAGAAAAGAUUUACAUUUGCAGGCUUGUUCAACCAUCAUCCACAAUAUUAUAAACCAUUAAAUUUAAAGAUUCAGUUGGUAAAAUGAAACACUGUAAUACUAAUUUCAAAACUCAGAAAAUUCCUGCAUCUCUAAGACUAAACCUGCAUCUCAAAAUCAAUCAAAGUUCCAUACCAACUUCUCUGCACAACUUUCUCAUCCAAAAUUUCACUACAACUCUACAACUUUCUCAUCCUCAUUAAGCAGCCAAAGCACAGAGAACAUUUUAAGGAGAGAUCACAAUAGUCAAGAUCAAGAUAAAGUUUCAAGAUCAAUUACCUUCAUAUAUGGCAUAUCAAGUUCUUUUUCUCCUAUAUAUACGUUCAUCCAUUCAAAAAGUUCAUAGAAUAUAUUGAUCAGGCCGUUUGAUCGACUUGUAGAUUAGAUAUAUUGAUCGUAGAAGUGUUCCGAUCGACUUGUAGAUUAGAUAUAUUUUAUUUUAUCUUGAUAGAAGGGGACAUAAUUAAGCAUUGUAGCUUGGAAGAAGGGGAUUUGAGCUAGAGACAUCAUCCACAUUUGUAAAGAGAAAUACUAGUAGACUGAUUUACUCUCAAUAACACAUAGAAUAAUUUCUAUUAAAAAAUUUGGUAUUCUAUUUAACUAAUAAAAUUUUAAUUUUAAUUUUAAUUGAAAUUAAUAACUAUAAGACGUAGUGUUUAUGAGAGGCCUGCCCACCUAAAGGAAUUUUUUAUUUUUAUUUUUUAUUUUUUUUUGUGAGGGACAAACUUAAAAGAAAAAACACCCUAAGCGGUCUCAUUCUCAUUGCCGCACUAAAACCUUAUUAUUCCCAACCUCUGUUGUCGCCGUUUUUUUUCCAUUGCUUCUCAAUUCCUUCCAGCAUCUUCAGAUACUCUCUUGAAGAGACUGCUCUCAUGGGUCGUCGGACGAUAUUCCGGAUUCGUAAAGUCCUCAGAGUUCCUCACAUAAUUACUAUCCCUAAGAUAGUAACGGUUGAGAGAAGCCCCGAUUCCUCGACCAGUUUUUCUGCUCGCCUCACUGGAUUCUCUUCAGCAAUGGCAGUCUACGGGAGUCUCCCUUCGAUUUUGGACGAUCCGAACGAUCCUCAUCUCUCGGAAUUGGAGAGGUUGGAAACGGAGGCAAGGGUUCAUCUCCGAGCCAUCCACCGUGAGGAGGCGGAGGAUGCCAACAGCCGCCGCUGGUUUGCCCAGCUGCGGAGCCGGUCCAACCCCCCCAUGGCAAUCGAGUGCAAAAAGUAAGAAUUUUCAUUCUAGAUCUACAUCUCCUUAAGAUCUAGCUGAAUGAGUUUUGAAUCUGCCACAGAAAAAAGGACCGAUAUUCUAAUUGUUAUCAGCAAUUUUAGACAUCCGCGUUCACUCUUUUAUUAUUUGCAAUUUUGUUUGAAUUUCUUUUAUUUUUCACGCUUUAUCGAUCUGAUCUAUCAGCAAAACUAUUAGGGUUUUGUUCAAAGCUAUUCGGUGGCCUUUUUUUUUUUUUUUGGUGGUGACAGUUGAAUAUCUUUGAACUGUUCAAAGAUAUUCAACUGUCUUAAUAUCUUUGAACAUCUUUGAACUGUUCAAAGAUAUUCAACUGCCUUUUUUUAUUAAGACAGUUGUCUUAAUAUCUUUGAACAUCUUUGAACUGUUCAAAGAUAUUCAACUGCCUUUUUUUUAUUAAGACAGUUGUCUUAAUAUCUUUGAAUAUCGAGUACAUAAAUUGAAACAAAAGUUCAAGAAAUAGUUCAUAGAACUAAACAAUAGAAAUAUAAACGAAAAUGUGCCUUUUUCUCCUGCAAAUAAAAUUGAAUGAACAAUUAGUUAUAACAUAAAAGAAAGAAAGAAGAUUGGAAAUAGUUGCCAAUGGGCCUAGCAAAAACAUGUGCAGAUGAGUUGAGAACUAAAGCAGAGGUUGUCUAAAAUAAGUUUCAGCAAAACUUAUUAGAAAAGAUUUACAUUUGCAGGCUUGUUCAACCAUCAUCCACAAUAUUAUAAACCAUUAAAUUUAAAGAUUCAGUUGGUAAAAUGAAACACUGUAAUACUAAUUUCAAAACUCAGAAAAUUCCUGCAUCUCUAAGACUAAACCUGCAUCUCAAAAUCAAUCAAAGUUCCAUACCAACUUCUCUGCACAACUUUCUCAUCCAAAAUUUCACUACAACUCUACAACUUUCUCAUCCUCAUUAAGCAGCCAAAGCACAGAGAACAUUUUAAGGAGAGAUCACAAUAGUCAAGAUCAAGAUAAAGUUUCAAGAUCAAUUACCUUCAUAUAUGGCAUAUCAAGUUCUUUUUCUCCUAUAUAUACGUUCAUCCAUUCAAAAAGUUCAUAGAAUAUAUUGAUCAGGCCGUUUGAUCGACUUGUAGAUUAGAUAUAUUGAUCGUAGAAGUGUUCCGAUCGACUUGUAGAUUAGAUAUAUUUUAUUUUAUCUUGAUAGAAGGGGACAUAAUUAAGCAUUGUAGCUUGGAAGAAGGGGAUUUGAGCUAGAGACAUCAUCCACAUUUGUAAAGAGAAAUACUAGUAGACUGAUUUACUCUCAAUAACACAUAGAAUAAUUUCUAUUAAAAAAUUUGGUAUUCUAUUUAACUAAUAAAAUUUUAAUUUUAAUUUUAAUUGAAAUUAAUAACUAUAAGACGUAGUGUUUAUGAGAGGCCUGCCCACCUAAAGGAAUUUUUUUUUUUUUUUUUUUUUUUUUUUUUUUUUUGUGAGGGACAAACUUAAAAGAAAAAACACCCUAAGCGGUCUCAUUCUCAUUGCCGCACUAAAACCUUAUUAUUCCCAACCUCUGUUGUCGCCGUUUUUUUCCAUUGCUUCUCAAUUCCUUCCAGCAUCUUCAGAUACUCUCUUGAAGAGACUGCUCUCAUGGGUCGUCGGACGAUAUUCCGGAUUCGUAAAGUCCUCAGAGUUCCUCACAUAAUUACUAUCCCUAAGAUAGUAACGGUUGAGAGAAGCCCCGAUUCCUCGACCAGUUUUUCUGCUCGCCUCACUGGAUUCUCUUCAGCAAUGGCAGUCUACGGGAGUCUCCCUUCGAUUUUGGACGAUCCGAACGAUCCUCAUCUCUCGGAAUUGGAGAGGUUGGAAACGGAGGCAAGGGUUCAUCUCCGAGCCAUCCACCGUGAGGAGGCGGAGGAUGCCAACAGCCGCCGCUGGUUUGCCCAGCUGCGGAGCCGGUCCAACCCCCCCAUGGCAAUCGAGUGCAAAAAUUUAUUGCAGGCCCCCGUCAGCCUCAGACCGGGUCUGAUGAUGAGAAAGCAUGGCAAAGAUUAAGGGCAAGAGUAGGAUACUUAUUUUGGGGCUCAUAUAUAAUGUAAUGUAAGACUUAUUUUGGGGUUCAUAUACUCAUAAUCGUUAGUAGUUUAAAGUUUGAGUCUUUUUUACAGUCUAAAUAAGAUUACAAAGAUAUGUCUUGCACCGGGUCACGGUUGGCACCAUUUGUAAUUGUGUUCAAAGAACCAAGGGGGAUCAGAUGGCAAGGAGAGCUGCAAAGAAAAAGUAAAGAUUAACCAAGCAAAGUUGCUAAUCAAUACCAACAAUACUUCGGAGGACAAAAUGAAAUCAAAUAGUCAUGAAUCACCAGCAUGGCGAUUUCAAAGAUAUUCAACUGUCUUACGAGCAGAAACUUGCUUGUAAACCUGGUUAGUGAUGAUUUGAAACUGAAAACAUUGAGAAGAAAUCACAAGAAGCAAGUCAAAAACGACGACAACUUAAGCAGAAAUCAUUUCCGCACCAGUUAAAGAGGAUGAACUCCAUGGAGGACUCGAGCAAGUGACUUCGCCGAUAACGACAUUACAUUGGCUAGUAUGCCUUUGAGCCGUCGGUUGGUGGUUAAGACAUUGUGGGGAGCAAUUGAAGAAAGAAAAUCCCUGCAAAAGUACUAAAAAUCUUGCCAAUUCCACAUCAAUUGGUCUAAUCCUUUAAGCUCAUUCACGGUCAGCUGGGACUCUUGGAGCGUAAGUCUGCAAAAUGAAACCAGGUGACUUAUGAGAUGAUUUUCAUAUCCAAUCAUAACAUAUACAGUACAUGAAUCAUGGUUUAUCUAGAAGUCUAUAACCAAUAAAGAGGUUAGAGACUCGGUAAAAGUUGUGCAGCUAGAGAUUGAAAGAAGCUUAGUUAGCUUAGUUCUUUUCUUUUAUACAUACCAAAUACUAAUACCAUCAUAUCAUACAGACAGGCAUUAGAAGCAAAGCAGCUGUUGUGAAGUUAUUACUUAUGUGAAUUAAGAAUACCUUAAGAGUGAUCACAGAAUGUUGUCAUUCACAUAUUGUACAGUUGAAAUCA